rnacentral:lncRNA from 1 species
GUACAUUAUUCUACAGUAAAUGAUAAGGAGGUGCUACUACUGGGGCUGCCACGCAAAAAGACUUCUAACGACAACUAGACUUCCCAAGGGGACUAACGACUGUCCUGAAAAUGGGAGUCGUGGAAAUUUCUCCAGUUGCGGAAUGUCAUGUAUAGUGUAGUGAUAAUAAAAAUUAGUCCAAGGUCUUUUAAAGAGUAUUUUUAUAUCUGUAAUUGAUCAAGCCUUUCAGCUAAUCAUCAAGUUUUCAUUCUGCAGAGCCAUGAAGUUAAAGCAUGUCCAAGAAUGAAUAUACGUGUAAAAAUGAAUAAAAUUCCUAGUAAUGGUACCAAAUUAAAAUAAUAUAUACUAGCAAAUGUUGUUAGUCGUGCACUAGGUCAGCCUUCAUGUUGAAUUACAUAUAUCACUUGGAAAGAAAUCAUUUAUUAAUAGACGAGACCGCUAAAUACCUUGGUAAUGUGCUGGUCUUCAAUCUUUCCAUAUUCCUGACAAUAGAUUUUCUGCAUUCAUCGGCCUUGUUUUCUCAUUGGAAAGGAAUUUGGGAGGGAAGUUACAAAGGAAGAUACUAUUUCUUUUUCUGUAUCAUCUGAACUUUGUCCGUUAUUCUUCUGUUAGUAUCUCAAGGCAAUAAAAACUCCAGGAAAAACUAAAAUUUCUCAGUUAAAUUCUUAACAAAGAAAUGCGGGAAAGACGCACAAAAUAUUUCAAGUAAUAACUUUGCAACAGUAGACAAGACAUUUUAGAUAGAAAUGAAAUAUAUUGUUACAGCUUUUCAUGAGUGAGUUUUUAUGUUACAUUUUCCCGCCUCAAAAUUUAACUUAUUGACCCAAAAAAUUUUGAUUAACACCACCUAGAAUUAUAUAUCUAUCUUACUUUAAGGAAAACGAAGAUAAGAAAUAAAACAGGCCUCAUUGUUCACAUGACAUAUCCUUCCUAUCCUUUGCCUUCCAGUUUCGCUUAGGUGCCAUCCAUUAACUUUUCGUAUUAAACUAGGAUCAACAUAAAGGACUUUUUGGUGCUUGAUAAGUUCUUAUCUCACAUUCCUCGUAAAAUCGUUUUAUAAGGUUUAUAAGGAGCAUUAAUCUGGUAAGCUAGUCAUCAUCAUAUCUCAGAAAUUUUAACAAGUGAAGUAAGUUCAAGAAUAGGGAAGGACUCAGAUUUUCCAUGCUCAUUUUCCCCGACCGAUCAUGUUAACGGGUUCAUCUGAAAACCAAUAAGUAAUAAGUGAAAAGCCUUCAUAUGCUCAUCUAUUAGUUUAACAAGUUACAAUUUAUCAAUCCAGAACAAGCUCCAAUUCCAUAUUUCUUGAAUGAGAAAUGUUGAUCACGUAGACUCUAUAAUAGCAUCAAAGUUGACAUUCAGUACUAUGCUAUACAAAAGGCAUUUACACAGUACAGAUCGGAGCAUAAUACCAAAAUUUCCAGAAUAUUUUGAAGUACCAAGCACGAGAAAGAUGCGUGUACAAUAAAUAACCACUAUCACCAAUUUCAAGUGAAUUUGGGAUGAUGGAGAAAAAUCAACCUGCAAUCACCAAAUUCAGCAUGGAUGGAGCAAAAUGAAGUUUGGAGUUUCC